rnacentral:rRNA from 1 species
CUACGUGCCAGCAGCCGCGGUAAUACGGAAGGUCCAGGCGUUAUCCGGAUUUAUUGGGUUUAAAGGGAGCGUAGGCUGGAGAUUAAGUGUGUUGUGAAAUGUAGACGCUCAACGUCUGAAUUGCAGCGCAUACUGGUUUCCUUGAGUACGCACAACGUUGGCGGAAUUCGUCGUGUAGCGGUGAAAUGCUUAGAUAUGACGAAGAACUCCGAUUGCGAAGGCAGCUGACGGGAGCGCAACUGACGCUGAAGCUCGAAGGUGCGGGUAUCGAACAGGAUUAGAUACCCUGGUAGUCCGCACAGUAAACGAUGGAUGCCCGCUGUUGGUACCUGGUAUCAGCGGCUAAGCGAAAGCAUUAAGCAUCCCACCUGGGGAGUACGCCGGCAACGGUGAAACUCAAAGGAAUUGACGGGGGCCCGCACAAGCGGUGGAGUAUGUGGUUUAAUUCGACGCAACGCGAAGAACCUUACCAGGUCUUGACAU